UGGGUCCAUUAUUCAAGAACGAAAGUUAGGGGAUCGAAGACGAUCAGAUACCGUCGUAGUGCUAACUAUAAACGAUGUCAACCAAGGAUUGGAUGAAAUUCAGAUGUACAAAGAUGAAGAAACAUUGUUUCUAAAUCCAAGUAUAUCAAUACUACCUUGUUCAGAACUUAAAGAGAAAUCUUGAGUUUAUGGACUUCAGGGGGAGUAUGGUCACAAGGCUGAAACUUAAAGGAAUUGACGGAAGGGCACACCAGGAGUGGAGCCUGCGGCUUAAUUUGACUCAACACGGGAAAACUUACCAAGACCGAACAGUAGAAGGAAUGACAGAUUAAGAGUUCUUUCAUGAUUUAUUGGGUAGUGGUGCAUGGCCGUUCUUAGUUGGUGGAGUGAUUUGUCAGGUUAAUUCCGGUAACGAACGAGACUGAAACCUAUUAAUUAGUUUUCUGCCUAUAAGACAGAAAUGUUCGCAAGAACAGGUGCGUAAGUACCACUUCUUAAAGGGACACAUUUCAAUUGUCCUAUUUUAAUUGUUAGUUAUCUAAUUUCGAUUAGAACUCUUUUAACGUGGGAAAUUAACGUGGGAAAU
rnacentral:rRNA from 1 species